GGGGUUGUAGCUUAGUGGUAAAGCACUUGUCUAACAUGUAAGGCAUAAGUUGAAUCUCCAGCAUCCCCU
rnacentral:tRNA from 1 species